AGAGUUUGAUCCUGGCUCAGGACGAACGCUGGCGGCGUGCUUAACACAUGCAAGUCGAACGGAAAGGCCCCUUCGGGGGUGCUCGAGUGGCGAACGGGUGAGUAACACGUGGGUGAUCUGCCCUGCACUUCGGGAUAAGCUUGGGAAACUGGGUCUAAUACCGGAUAGGACCACGGCCUGCAUGGGUUGUGGUGGAAAGCUUUUGCGGUGUGGGAUGGGCCCGCGGCCUAUCAGCUUGUUGGUGGGGUGAUGGCCUACCAAGGCGACGACGGGUAGCCGGCCUGAGAGGGUGUCCGGCCACACUGGGACUGAGAUACGGCCCAGACUCCUACGGGAGGCAGCAGUGGGGAAUAUUGCGCAAUGGGGGCAAGCCUGAUGCAGCGACGCCGCGUGGGGGAUGACGGCCUUCGGGUUGUAAA
rnacentral:rRNA from 1 species